GACGAACGCUGGCGGCGUGCCCAAUACAUGCAAGUCGAGCGGAACUUAGAAAGCUUGCUUUCUAAGUUUAGCGGCGGACGGGUGAGUAACACGUGGGCAACCUGCCUAUAAGACUGGGAUAACUUCGGGAAACCGGAGCUAAUACCGGAUAAUAUAAAAGAUCACAUGGUCUUUUAUUGUAAAGAUGGCUUCGGCUAUCACUUAUAGAUGGGCCCGCGGCGCAUUAGCUAGUUGGUGAGGUAAUGGCUCACCAAGGCGACGAUGCGUAGCCGACCUGAGAGGGUGAUCGGCCACACUGGGACUGAGACACGGCCCAGACUCCUACGGGAGGCAGCAGUAGGGAAUCUUCCCCAAUGGACGAAAGUCUGACGGAGCAACGCCGCGUGAACGAUGAAGGCCUUCGGGUCGUAAAGUUCUGUUGUUAGGGAAGAACAAGUAUCGUUCGAAUAGGGCGGUACCUUGACGGUACCUAACCAGAAAGCCACGGCUAACCACGUG
rnacentral:rRNA from 1 species